GCCCCCGUAGCCCAAUCGGCAGAGGCAGUCGACUUAAAAUCGAUUCAGUAUGGGUUCGAGUCCCAUCGGGGGUA
rnacentral:tRNA from 1 species